UACGUAGGGGGCAAGCGUUGUCCGGAAUCAUUGGGCGUAAAGGGCGCGUAGGCGGUCAGCACAAGUCAGUUGUGAAAUCUCCGGGCUUAACUCGGAAAGGUCAACUGAUACUGUGCGACUAGAGUGCAGAAGGGGCAACUGGAAUUCUCGGUGUAGCGGUGAAAUGCGUAGAUAUCGAGAGGAACACCUGCGGCGAAGGCAGCACUCUGGGCUGGAACUGACGCUGAGGAGCGAAAGCGUGGGUAGCAAACAGG
rnacentral:rRNA from 1 species